GGAGUACCCGUGAGGCGGUCGGUGCAAUAUUUUGACCAAUUUUAAAAUGACACAGUAAUGUAUGAAUUGGUUAAGAUAUUGCAUCGUCCGCUUGACGGGAAUGCC
rnacentral:pre_miRNA from 1 species